AAUCAACGCUGGCGGCGUGCCUAACACAUGCAAGUCGAACGCGAAAGCCCUUUCGGGGGUAAGUAGAGUGGCGUCCGGGUGAGUAACACGUAGGUAAUCUACCUUCGGGUGGGGAAUAACUCGCCGAAAGGCGAGCUAAUACCGCAUAAUGCAGCGGCACCUAAUGGUGAUUAGUUGUUAAAGCGGGGGAUCGUAAGACCUCGCGCCUGAAGAGGAGCCUGCGGCAGAUUAGCUAGNGGUGAGGUAAUGGCUCACCAAGGCUUCGAUCUGUAGCUGGUCUGAGAGGACGGCCAGCCACACUGGCACUGACACACGGGCCAGACUCCUACGGGAGGCAGCAGUGGGGAAUUUUGGGCAAUGGGCGCAAGCCUGACCCAGCAACGCCGCGUGAGGGAGGAAAUCCUUCGGGAUGUAAACCUCACAAGCAAGGGAAGAGAGCUCAGGACCAAAUAAGUCCUGAGUCCGACGGUACCUUGCGUAAGCCACGGCUAACUACGUG
rnacentral:rRNA from 1 species